UUCACUACUACAGGUCUUUAAAUAAAAAGUAAGAGAUACCUGGUGAAAAGUUUAUCCUGGUAAGAUUAAUUCAAGAGUGUAGAAUUGGCUUCAGAGUGCUUUGUACUCUUGAUUUUAAAAUCCUGUAUAGGUGUCCCAGGAGGGGAGAAACUUUAGUGACUCCCUUUAGUGUGUGAUUCACACAGUAGAAAAGAUAUUUUUAAGGAAACACAGAAUGUAGAAUUUGGGGUUAGAAAGCUCAGAUUGAUUAAAGUUGUAUUUAGAGCAGGUUUCAGAAUUUGCAUUACUGAUUGCAGUGUUGGGAUUGACUCAACAUUCUGUGUUCAAGGAUUCUGUAUUUCAAAAGUUGCAAAAAUAAUAUGAAAUAUACUGUAUUUUUUUCAGGCAGCAUUUAUUGAACAUUUAUUGUGUUCAGUUGUGGACAUUUUGCAAUAAGGUACUUACUAUCAUUGAAAGGAACAGAAAUGUUUGGAGGCUGUGCCUGUUUCUCAGUUUUAUCUACUUAAUGGGAAUCUGUUCCCCUUCUCUGUAAUUUAAGAGACGUUGUAAUUAAAUGAUUUUAUUUGGGGACAUUCAGGUUUAUCCUUGACUGUAGUUCUUGUGUGUACAUUGACCACCUUCAAGCCAAAACGAAAGUGAGCAAUGGCUACCGGCUGUCUCGCUCAUGAAAACUGGCAAGUUAAAAUGACAGAAUCCUAACCAUGCAGGAAGAGACCUUUGAGAACUUAGGUAGUAGCCCAUUCUCCUUGCUUCAAGAAAAACAUCUAGAUAGUUCCAGAUGGUGUGUUCUAAUGGACAUGAACAGUGUCCUGGGAGGAAGAUUUCUGUACCCUCAGUAAUCUACUAGAGUAAUUUAAAGCCCACAGUUGGAACAUUCUUGAAUGUAGUGUAAAUGCUGUAAUUUGAGCUCAUUUCCCCCUGCUUGGGCCUGUGAUUAUGAAACCUAUGUUACUUUUUGGUUACUUGAACAUUACUGAACCUCCACACCCCAAUAGCAUACCUUUCCUGGUAGCUUCAUUAGUGUCACAUGUUUCUGAAAAAGGAACAUUCCUGUAAUUACAUCUGUUGAAGACUUAUAGUACAGUAUUUGAUGUUUAUAUUGUAAGGGUCUGGUUUAUGGCCUGAGGCAGGAAUGGCAUCACAUUAAGAAUCACAUUUAAUUCAUUAGGUAUAUAUAUGUCUUGUAGAGCAUUAGUUCAGGCUGCCAAUAAUUUCAUCAAGGAAUUUGACCUAUCCGCAAAUGUAGUCUGACACCUUCAUUAUUACAUGAUAGUUCUUUCCUCACCUCCUUCUUUGGGUCAGCUAAUCCCAUUUCUUUCAUCAUUUCUUAAGUGGUAUGAUUUUUGAGCUCUUUUAAUUCUCUGUCCACCUCCAAAUUCUCUGUUGUUCUCCUUGUUUACCUUCAGAAGUGUGACCCAGAACUGGAUGUAAGUAGUUUGGAAAAAGAUCUGCUCUUUCUUUCCUGUAAUGUCGUGUUUGUAUCGUGCUUCUUUUUCAUUGCCUUCUGUAUUACCUUCUCUUUGUGUCCACUCUAAUAAAUUGCUUAUAUUACAUGUAAUGAUGUAACUUUGGACAACCCUGAUGACUAGAAAACUGCUCUGGAAAACACCUGUCAAGCUUAGAGCCUCUACUUGGUGGGGCAGUGACCCACCUCUGAGGGAGGAGAGAGGCAGCCAGGAGUAUAACCAAGUACUCUAGUCCAGGGCCCAGCAAACUUUUUCUGUAAAGGGCAAGAUAGUAAAUAUUUUAGGCUUUGCAAGCUGUGGAAGGCAGGUUUAGCCUAAGUAAAUGAUUGCGCAUGGCUGUAUUCCAGUUGACAAUUGUAUGGACAGUGAAGUUUGAAUUUCAUAUUGAUUUCACUUGUCAUAAAAUACGUUUCUUCAUUUGAUUUUUUUUUCCUCCCCAGUAUUUAAAAAUGUGAAAACCAUUCUUAGCUCACCUGCCAUACAAAACGAGCAGUGGCUGGGCCAGGCCUGCAGGCCGUCAUUGGGCCGUAGUUUGCUGAGCCUUGGAGAGCUGAUGGAAUGGGAACCGUUGGGUGUCCGGAAAAGGGCUGCUCCAGCUGGUGUUCCCUCAGUUCUGGGUGACGGCGAGUAAGGCCAUGGACUGCGCCAGCUCCUCUGUACCUCGGUUUCCAGCAGCACCGUGCUGGCUGGGGUAGAAGUGUUCCUUGGGGCAGGGGAACAGGCUCCCCACCUUCCCAGACCCUUUCUGAGCGGAGAUGGAGGUACUGUACAUUAAUUAAGCCUCCUGCUUGCCGAUUCUGACUUUGCCAGCCAGAAUUCCAGGACCUCUUGUACUCUUUGUAAUAUUAUUAUGUUAAACAUAUUUACAGAUGUUAGGCCCAAUCACUUUGUGUCCACACCAAAACCAUCUAGUUCUGUGAUACACAGUUAAACCAGUCGUUUCCUAUUUUAUUUGCGUAAGUAUUUUUAAAAAUUUCUCUGCGUUUUCUUUUACACGUAUUUAAAAUCUGUUAUUCAGAGCCUAAAGUACAAUUAAUAGCUUUGCACAUUAAGGAAAGCACUAAUCAAGUUACUCAGUGCUUAUUAGCUAAAAUGAAAUUAUGAAUAUUCUUGCAUGAGUUGGAGCCUAAUUGAUUACCUGGGGUUAGGAAUGCAUUUAUCCCCUUAAAUCAUUCAAGGCUUUUUCAGUUGCUAUUAUGUAUAAAGAGCUCUGCUCUAGGUACCAAGGGAUUUGGGGAUGAAUGAAUGAGACGGGCAUCUCCCCUUCAGUCUGGUGGGGAAAAUGCAUUUGUCCAGUACUUCUACAGCACAGGGCAAAACAUGCCUUGAGGAAGGAAUAAAUGAAUUGGUGACAAAAUAAUUGGCAGCUUUUUUCAUACUAAUUUUGCCCAGUUUGAGAAAGGGCUACUAUGAUUUGUAACACUCAUUUCUUGAGUGCUUUCUUAACAUUUGGGGGCCAACUCUUGGUUUUGGGCAAAAUUGUUCAAGAUUUCAAAGGGAGUCCUUAUAGUUUCCUCAUUUAUAAUUCCCCUAGCUUUAGGAAGCUUUUCAUAAGUUAAAAAUAUAGUGUAUAAAUGGACAGGUGAUCAUAUUGUUAUGCUAGUCUCAGAAGCAUCCAAUGUUAUUUUCAAAAUGUAAAGCAUGAGACUAGGUAGCCCAUUAGUUUGGUUAUUCCCAACUUUUUGAAAGUUGUGCCACUCUUUUGUUAAUAGAUUUCAGUUUUCUCCUCUCAAAAAAUUCUGGAUGGCACUUAAAACACACAUACGUCCCAGAGUGAACUGGAAUAAUUUUGUAUUCAGGAUUUGAUUACUGCAAAGCCAGGAGCGGUAAUUAGCAUACGAUUUUAAUGUGGUGCCUUUUGCCUUCCUGUAGCAAAGUAAAUUGACUACCAUUGAAAAGAUGUUUACAAUCAUGUCUUCUUAGAAUUUGUUUUAUUGUAACUAUAACCUGUUAAAAGAUUGACAUUCUUAAGACUUUUUCAAUUUCAACAAAUCAUUAAUUGCAUCUAUCUUGGCUUUCAAGAAAGGGUGGGUGACAAUGUAAAUUUAUGGGAAAAUGCAGGUUCUAGAGUCUUUAAUUUCAUGAUUUCAGAUAAAGUUGAUUUUGAAGCCUGUUCCCUCAUAUUAUGACAUAUUUGUGUUUAAGUUGAAGUUAGUAAAAUAAAGCUUUUUUUUCUCUUGUUUAAAUUGGGAAUUUAAUUCCUUUUAGUUUUAGAAGAAUUUUAAGACAUAGUACAGCAAUUUUGUUUAAAGAUAGUAAACUAUUUCACAGUAGAAAUUAGGAAACUUGAUGUGUGAGAUGAUCAAAUCCCUACAUUAGGCCAGCAACAUUUUUUUUUUAGAAAAAAAUUUGUGCAUUUAUGAGUCAGAACUUGAUUUUUAAAACAUCAGCUUUAUAACGUCUACCUUGUAAAUCUGCUGAGUUUGUUUUUGGUUUUUUAAACUGGAGGUUCCAAGGGUUGUUUUUAGUGACAGUUAAGCUGUUAUUGGAUUAUCCUAGAAAUAGAGUUUUUAAAAAAUUACAUUACAAAUAUGACUGCAGGGCUUCUUUCUUGACUAUGGACUCGUAAGAGCCAUUUUCUCCGCUUCAGAUUUUAAAAGUUAAAAGUACAACACAGUUUAAAAUAAAAAUCUUUGUUUAUAGAAGAUUAAUUUUGUAUUGAUUUUAGUGUUGUACUGUGGGCCAUGGUGUUUUUCAUUUCCUUAAAAUGAUAGGGUAUAAUUUUUUCAGCCACUGAAAUUAUUCACUAAAAUUGAGGUGGAAAGAGAAAAUAGCCCUUACAAGAUACACAGAUCAGAGCAUUUUAAAAAUGUGGUCAUUUUUAUAUAACAGCCACGUCCUGUCUGAUGUUGGGGAUCUAGGAUGAGGCAGUUUCCUAAGGGAACAGAUUACCUGGAUUACAUGGGAAGGAAGUGAGCGGCCAGAAGAGUAUGGUGAGUCCAGGAGGCCAGGAGGGUGUUGGCAGAGGGGAGCUGGGCAAGGUGAGUCUGCAGCUUAGGAAUGAUCUGGAGCUACAGGGAGUCAGAAAUAGAAAGUGUGUUGGCAUGCCAGAUGGAGCAUCCUGCAAGCCAGGUACCAGGGCCUUGAAAACUCAGUGUCCUGGGAACUCAGCAAGAGAUGGGCCCUACCCUGGUCCCUGCCCCCACCUUGCCGCCCCUCUUUAAGCAUCUGCUAAUUGACGUUCCUGCUGUUACAACUGUUCUAGUUGUUGUCUCUGAGUAAUGUCUUAGCGGAGUUAUGGGUCCAUCAGGUUCAUGCAAGCAGCCAGUUGGUUGCAUCUCUUGCAGUCCACCAGCUAUUGGGUGUUAGGGAGAAAGUAUGGCUAGAUCCCUGCACAUCCAUCCAUGCUGCUAGGAAAAAACAGCAGAUCCUCAGUGUGGGUCAGUCAUGUGGCCUGCAGCUGGGAGGGAUGAAACAGUAAGUGGGUGAAACCUCUUGGCAUUGUGGCCCAUUUGGUUUGCACGUUGCCUUCUGCCAGUCUGUGGGUUUUCUCUGGUAGUACUCAGUGUCAAUGCCAUGCGCUCUGAACUUUUCCAUAGUAUGAGGAUUGUCGUUAGGAGACUCACUUUGGAGCACUGUCCUGAUGAGCUGACUGGCAGACUGCGACAGCAGUCACAGAUUGUCUUCGACUAUAGUUUUGGGCUUUGCCUUUUGUUUCUUUUAUUGUUCCUUUAAGAUUCUGGUUCUGUCACCCUCCCCUCCUACUCCUCUAGUGGGCACUCCUGCCUUAUUCUCUGGCACUUUUCACACUGUUGCUUGUCUGCCUCCCCCUCUCCCCACAAACCACCUGAGGGGCAGGUAUAGUGUUAAAACUUACUUUGUCCCCUAUCACCUAGUGCAGUGCCUAGCCUGUGGAGGCAGGGGAACACUUUUGGGUGACUUAGAUAUGUUAAUACUUGUCUGAAACCCAGUGAGACUGGAAGAUGUUGUCCUCUCUUUUUACUUGGGGAAGCUGGUGAAGAGGGAGGGGGAUUGUGAAAAAAGAGGACUUGGAACUUUUACAGAAUCUGUGGAUUUAUAAGUAGAGGAAGGGAUGGAUAAACUAUGUAGAGCAGAAAUAACCUGGGGGAGCUGACUCCUAGGGGAAUGGCCUGGGACUAGACUGUUUUGUUCUCCCUUUGGCUCUGUUUUCAGAUUAACUAGCCAUGGAUUCUGCAUGUUUAUUGUACUGUGUGUGUGAGUUUUCUGGUUCAUUCCUUCAUUCAUUCUGCUAAUAUUUAUGGACUGGCUACUCGAGGACCACCCAGAGUCCUCUCCAGUGCUUGGCACAGGUUGUUGACGCUUGCUGUAGGAUGAUAAUAUUCAGUGGGUUUGAAACACAUGUUUGGGAGUUAAAUGCUUUCCUGUUGCAUGGGCUGUGACUUUUUUCCAGUGUGCUGGAAUUCAUCUUUGAAGUUUAAAUUUUAUGACAGGGUUAUUAAAUCAUGCAAGUAUUUUGAUAUUUUGGCAAUAUUUGCACCCUACCCCCUUUUUUAAGCUUAUUUUCAUGAAAAUUUCACAAUUACUUUGAAUUCUGCCCAGCAGCACAUUUCUCCUUAACAAUAGUGUCCUUAAACUAUAGUCAUUCUGAAAUCUUAACACAUGUCCGCAUAUGGUAAAGUAUGCUCAAAUAGGUGAUUCCUCCUAGAUCUGUAAUUAUCUUGUUGAUGCUUAGAGAGAAAAGAGCUUGCAGAAGGAAAUUCUUAAUUUUUGUGUUCACUAUAGUUCUUUGCACCGUAGGUUUUUGCAAAACCUUAUGGCUUUGCGACUGCCAACUGCCAGGCAGUGGCUGGCCCGUUCUGUUCCUCUGUCAGCCAGUGUUCCCCUUGGGUGUCCCCUGUGAUUGCAGAGGGCUGGCGGUGCAAGCACGUGAAAACUUCUAACUUAGAAGUUCAAGUCGUGGAAGUAAGGGGGCAGGGAUUGUAUAAAGGAGAGAGAGGUUGCUGCAGAUGUGUCCUUUUUUUUUCCUGUAAGGAUGAAGUAGAUGCUAGGAGCUGGGAGUGGUCGACUGAUGGGAACCAGUGGUUUUCAUAUUCAGAGAUCUUGUGCUCAGCCUUAUUAACACCAUGGCAGAUUCUGAUACAGGAUGUGAACGUAUUAGUAAACUCUACCAUGUGUUCAUAUGGCUGUAGAUACAGACGCACACAGUGGUUGCAGAGAUGGGGCUAAUCUGUAGUCCUCUCUUCCCAUGGGAAGAUGGUGGUGAGAGCUAUUUUCAGGUGACAGAGGUUGAGCGCUGACUCAUGCUGCUCCCAUGAACUAGUCCAGGAGGAAGGCCCCACCACAUGUCAGAUAUGCUGUACAUCUUUAUGUUCCUUCAGUGCCCCACACCCUUUUCUACCAGCUUUUUAGGAGCCGCCCACAGGAAGAGGAGAGAGCAAAUCUACCUGCAGAACUGGGGUAGACCAGAGUGCUGUCCAGUAGAAAUGUAAUGCAAGCCACAUAGAUCAUUCUAGCUACCCCGUGGAGCAAGGCAAGAGUAGAAGACGGAGACCAUUUGGGAAGCUGCUCUAGGCAAAAGAUGAAGGUGGCUUGAACUAGAGAGGUGGCAUAAAGGAGUUUCCUUCUUGAAUGGUGAGAGAUUUGAAGUUCUGUUGAGAUGCUGGACAGUUCUUCAUUGCAUUGGGAGUUGCCUGGCAUCUUAGACACCCCCCCUCCAGAUGCCAGUAAGGUCCCGAAUAUUGUGACAACCAAAAACGACACCCCCUAAGCCCCCAGAGCUCUAAAUGUUCAACCAGGAGUACCUCCCAGUUUAGUCGGUAUGACUGAGUUGAUUUCCCUGGGCCGUGACCUCAAGUUUGGAAAACACUUGUGUAGAGGCUUGCGGAUUCUUCUUGACCUGGUAAAAGAAUGAAGUCACAACACGAUUGCAAAUGCAAGAUUGUUAUUUUCUGGUAUGGAAUGGAUGUGCUUUCUGUCAUUCAGACUCCAAAAUACAAUUAAUGGUACCAAGUGGCCCCUAGAAUAACAAGGGGUCCUUUGAGAAGUACCCAGUUGAGGUUGUCUUCUAAUCUCAGAACACACUCUGGGUACCGACAGGGCGUUCACUGCACUACUGGGAAAUCAUUCUUUCUUCAUAUCCAGCCGUGCAGAGAAUUCCCCUGUACCCCUCACCUGGUUUCCUUCAUUUUAACCUCUUACUUCUCCAUGGCACAUUUGUCAAAUCUAAAAAACUAACACUAUGACGUUACUACUAACUCAACUCCAAACUUUAUUUGGAUUUUGCUAGUUUUUCUAAUGCCCUUUUCUGUUGGAGGAUGAGGUCUAGGGUACCACGUUGCAGGUAGUUUGAGUCUCAGUAGCUGCACAUGGGACCGGUGUGCUGCCUCGGUUGCACUAGAUCUCUGUGAAUCUGUACGUCCCCUCUGCUUUGCCCACUCCAGCUCAUCUACCAAAUAGCUCAUUUUGCCUUUUAGUGAUUUCUCUUGACAUAGUUUCCAAAUCUUUUGCCAUUCUCUCAAUAUACUGUGCUUGUUCUUGAUUUAAAAUGAGACACCCAGAACCCAACAUGGUUCUUCACAUAUAGUUGGACAAGGGUAGAAUGUUGUGGAACUUCUAGUUGUGUAUCCAGGACAUCUAUUAAUGCAGCCUAAACUUAUUGUUUAUUUGCUGACUUUUUUUAGCAGAUGCAUCCCAUCUUGAACCAAAUAUUGAAGCUGAAGUUCUGCUUCUGAAUUUUUUUUGACAUGAAAAAAUCCAAAAGGCAAGACUUUAUAUGAAUACCUUUAAAAUUCAUCGUAUUUAUUUUGGCACUUCUACUACCUACAUCUACUACUUUGAGUAUUGUAACUCUUUCUUUUAUGCACACAUUUAUAGGCAUGUCAUGAUUUAAGUCACUAAUGAAAACAUCAUGCUGAGCAGGGUCAAGUACAGGACCUUACCAAGAUAACUGGGCAAGUGAAGAGAAGACGUAGCAAAUAAAUACAUAACUGUGUGAGAUGGCUAAAAACCCUGUUCAUGUAGGGUGAAGGCCUUGAUUCAGCUUCACUUAUUGCUAGCUGGGGGUGGUGCUUAAGCUAGAAUGUUUGCGCAAUGAGAACGACUGGAGUUUCUGGAGAAGAGGCAGGUGUGGGGGAGGGUCACUCUUUUAAAGAUGGAAGGCAGUUGCGAGUGGCAGGAUUGGUAGCUUGACUUUUCAUUUCACUCACCGCACCAGAACCCUCUACUUGAAGAUUUUCAUGAGCCUUGUUGAAUUAGACCUUUUUAUGAAUGGCACUGAUCACUUCAGAGGACUUUAGUCAUAUUUCUUUUAUACCAAGGAGGUAUGUGAAUGACAUAGUUCCUCUUCAGGAAUGCCUAGUCAU